CUGCUCCCUUCUUUUACUGGAGAUUCAAAGUUGAUCUGCACAUUGAUUUAGCACACGUUUUACUCCCGAUGCCCUUCCUGUUGCAACUCCAUAUUAUGCAGAG